AGCAGCCGCGGUAAUUCCAGCUCCAAUAGCGUAUAUUAAAGUUGUUGCAGUUAAAAAGCUCGUAGUUGAAUUUCGGGAUCAAUAUGUUGGUCGUGCCUCGGUACGUACUAGCUUAUUGGUUUCUCCUUUCUGAAGAACCAUGAUGUCAUUUAUUUGGUGUCGUGGGGAAUCAGGACUGUUACUUUGAAAAAUUAGAGUGUUUAAAGCAGGCUCACGCUUGAAUACAUUAGCAUGGAAUAAUGAAAUAGGACGUUUGAUUCUAUUUUGUUGGUUUCUAGGAUCGACGUAAUGAUUAAUAGGGAUAGUUGGGGGCAUUAGUAUUCAAUUGUCAGAGGUGAAAUUCUUGGAUUUAUUGAAGACUAACUACUGCGAAAGCAUUUGCCAAGGAUGUUUUCAUUAAUCAAGAACGAAAGUUAGGGGAUCGAAGACGAUCAGAUACCGUCGUAGUCUUAACCAUAAACUAUAGCCG
rnacentral:misc_RNA from 1 species